rnacentral:rRNA from 1 species
GCCUAGCCUUAAACAUUGAUAGCACAUUACACCCGCUAUCCGCCUGGGGACUACGAGCGUUAGCUUAAAACCCAAAGGACUUGGCGGUGCUUAAGAUCCACCUAGAGGAGCCUGUUCUAGAAUCGAUGACCCCCGUUCAACCUCACCCUCCCUUGCUUUUCCCGCCUAUAUACCGCCGUCGUCAGCUUACCCUAUUGAAGGGCCUAAUAGUAAGCAAAAUUGGCACAGCCUAAAACGUCAGGUCAAGGUGUAGCGCAUGAGAGGGGAAGAAAUGGGCUACAUUUCCUAACAUAGGGAACACGGACAAUAUACUGAAACGUACAUUCAAAGGAGGAUUUAGUAGUAAGCAGAAAAUAGAGCGUUCUGCUGAAAUCGGCCCUAAG